ensembl:misc_RNA Metazoa_SRP Metazoan signal recognition particle RNA
GCCGGGCAUGGUGGCGCGUGCCUGUAAUCCCAGCUACUCAGGAGGCUGAGGCAGAAGAAUCGCUUGAACCCGGGAGCCAGAGGUUGCAGUGAGCUGAGAUCAUGCCACUGUACUUCAGCCUGGGCGAUAGAGUAAGACUCUGUCUUCA